CCCUUAGAUGUCCGGGGCUGCACGCGCGCUACACUGAAGGAAUCAGCGUGCUAAAACCAUUGUCGAAAGGCAUUGGUAAACCCAUUAAAAUCCUACGUGAUUGGGGUCGGGAAUUGCAAUUAUUUCCCUUGAACGAGGAAUUCCCAGUAAGUGUGGGUCAUAAGCUCGCGUUGAUUACGUCCCUGCCCUUUGUACACACCGCCCGUCGCUGCCCGGGACUGAGCCGUUUCGAGAAAAGCGGGGACUGCUGCUGUCGGGGCUUUCGGGCCUUGGCUUCGGUGGAAACCGCUUUAAUCGCAGUGGCUUGAACCGGGCAAAAGUCGUAACA
rnacentral:rRNA from 1 species